rnacentral:rRNA from 1 species
CGAACGGGUGAGUAAUGCGUGACCAACCUGCCCCAUGCUCCAGAAUAGCUCUUGGAAACGGGUGGUAAUGCUGGAUGCUCCAACUUGACGCAUGUCUUGUUGGGAAAGUGUUUAGUGGCAUGGGAUGGGGUCGCGUCCUAUCAGCUUGUAGGCGGGGUAAUGGCCCACCUAGGCUUCGACGGGUAGCCGGCCUGAGAGGGCGGACGGCCACAUUGGGACUGAGAGACGGCCCAGACUCCUACGGGAGGCAGCAGUU